AUGGCCAAAUCAUGUUGAAACACCAAUUCUCAUAUGAUCACCAAAGUUAAGAAACAUCUAGUCUGGUCAGUAUCUAGAUGGGUGACUGCUUGGGAAUACCAGGUGCUGUAAG